rnacentral:rRNA from 1 species
UACGAAGGGGGCUAGCGUUGCUCGGAAUCACUGGGCGUAAAGCGCACGUAGGCGGCUUUCUAAGUCAGGGGUGAAAUCCUGGAGCUCAACUCCAGAACUGCCUUUGAUACUGGGAAGCUCGAGUCCGGAAGAGGUGAGUGGAACUGCGAGUGUAGAGGUGAAAUUCGUAGAUAUUCGCAAGAACACCAGUGGCGAAGGCGGCUCACUGGUCCGGUACUGACGCUGAGGUGCGAAAGCGUGGGGAGCGAACAGG